UUGUUGCAGGAUGCAUGUGGCCGAGUUUGGAUGGCCAAUGAAGAGCAAGGGGCAAAGGAAACAAAAAAUGAGUGAGAUGAGCAAGAUGUAGGUGAGAGUGCUGUUAUUGGCCUUAACAAUGGGAGUAUGGCGGUGCUUCAGAAAGAUGCCAAGAACCAGAGCUGUGAAUGCAGAGAAGACCAAGGCCAUUAAAGAAAGUGACAUCCCUAGGGGGUCUUCAUAAGUGAGAAAGAUAAGAGCUUUGUGAAUGCAGUGAUUCUUCCCCAUGUUGGCAUAUUGGUCCUCUGGGCACAGGAUACACAUCUCCACAUCUAAUGGAAUAAUUAAGGGAAAUCUUGGCAUUACAAUGAAUCUUGUGAUGGGUGUCCAUAUGCUGCAUUGGAAUUUUGCUGAUUUCUCCAUGCUGAAUUUGCAUCCUUUGUUUCAUGAUUAGUGAAGUGGAUCUUGCUCAAAGAGGAACCCAGCUGAAAGACAGGCAACAUACUAUAGAGUAUAUGUUCUUGCUUAAGGAUUCCUGCAGAGGUCCAAAGAAGUCAUCAGAUCUCCUGGAACUGAAGGGACACAUAGUUUGGAGACAACUAAGGGAUGCUAAGAACUGC
ensembl:lncRNA AABR07001942.1